rnacentral:lncRNA from 1 species
GCAAGUCCAAAAUCUGAGGACUGCCUUAUUUUGCUUCUAUAAAAAAGGCACCUAGUGCCUUGUAAAAGAGGGUUCUCUCUUCAGCCAGUUUCAGCUCCCAAAAGAUUCUUUCAGUUCAAUUUUGUAGAUCUGAAACAGCUUCCAAAUAAAAAUAUAAAAAAAGGGUGGAAAAUACAAUAGAAAAUUUAAAAAAACUAUUUCAUUGCCUUUCUUCAAUUUUUUUUCGGAUUCCAGUUUAAGUUCAAUUUUCUAUGUCAUGUCGAAACCUAAAUGGCUCGAGUUCUUUGUUUCCAUUCAAUAUUUGCAAUCUGAAGUACUUGAAGUCAUUGGUAUUGGUUUAAUUGAAUCAGCUGAGUUGUUAUCCACUAGUUGGGCUGGUCUCUUGGUUUAUUGCUGUUAUUUGUGUGUUAUUUAGUUGGUUUGUUGAUCCUGUUUGGUAAUUAAAUAUUUCUGAACUUCUGAAUUAAUUCUUGGGUUGCUGUUGAGAGUUGUUACUGCUGCUGAUCAUUUCCUCUUCUAAAUUUCUCUAAUUGCCAGCUACACAUUGAAUCCAAUCUACUGUGACCUUGAGCUUGAAAUGGAAUGCAAUUAUUCAUCUAUCUAGGCUGCUUGAACUGCUGUGUGCUGGUAGUUAUUAGGUGUAAAUGAUUAACUCAGUUUAAAUUCGAUCGGUAUGCGUAAAGAUCCUGG